AAGCAGGAUAAGUUUCAGUGCAGCUUGUUCAGUGCUGUUCUGUCGUUCCCCCUGCACACAUCAAUUUGACUAUCCCUGUCUGUCUGCAUCCCACGGCAGACAGGGACACCUUGGUUUUAGACAC
rnacentral:snoRNA from 1 species